rnacentral:rRNA from 1 species
CGGCACGCCUUAACAUGCAAGUCGAACGAAGUAGCAAUACUUAGUGGCAGACGGGUGAGUAACAUGUAGGUAUCUUCCCUUUGGUGAGGAAUAACACGAGGAAACUUGUGCUAAUACCUCAUAAGUCUUUACAGAGAAAGCUUUAUGCGCCGAAGGAUGAGCCUGCACUUGAUUAGUUUGUUGGUGGGGUAAUGGCUUACCAAGACUUUGAUCAAUAGCUGAUCUGAGAGGAUGAUCAGCCACAUUGGGACUGAGACACGGCCCAAACUCCUACGGGAGGCAGCAGUAGGGAAUAUUGCACAAUGGAGGAAACUCUGAUGCAGCGAUGCCGCGUGAGUGAAGAAGGCCUUUGGGUUGUAAAGCUCUUUCGUCGGGGAAGAAAAUGACUGUACCCGAAUAAGAAGGUCCGGC